GAACGCUAGCUACAGGCUUAACACAUGCAAGUCGAGGGGCAGCAUAGAAGAAGCUUGCUUCUUCUGAUGGCGACCGGCGCACGGGUGCGUAACGCGUAUCAAACCUGCCUCAUACUCGGGGAUAGCCUUGCGAAAGUAAGAUUAAUACCCGAUGUUGUUAUGUUACCGCAUGGUGAUAUAACCAAAGAUUUAUCGGUAUGAGAUGGUGAUGCGUCCGAUUAGGUAGUAGGCGGGGUAACGGCCCACCUAGCCAUCGAUCGGUAGGGGUUCUGAGAGGAAGGUCCCCCACACUGGAACUGAGACACGGUCCAGACUCCUACGGGAGGCAGCAGUGAGGAAUAUUGGUCAAUGGACGGAAGUCUGAACCAGCCAAGUAGCGUGCAGGAUGACGGCCCUCUGGGUUGUAAACUGCUUUUAGUUGGGAAUAAAAAAGAGGACGUGUCCUCUAUUGUAUGUACCUUCAGAAAAAGGACCGGCUAAUUCCGUGCCAGCAGCCGCGGUAAUACGGAAGGUCCAGGCGUUAUCCGGAUUUAUUGGGUUUAAAGGGAGCGUAGGUGGAUUAUUAAGUCAGUGGUGAAAGACGGUGGCUCAACCAUCGUUAGCCAUUGAAACUGGUAGUCUUGAGUGCAGACAGGGAUGCUGGAACUCGUGGUGUAGCGGUGAAAUGCUUAGAUAUCACGAUGAACUCCGAUCGCGAAGGCAGGUGUCCGGGCUGCAACUGACGCUGAGGCUCGAAAGUGUGGGUAUCAAACAGGAUUAGAUACCCUGGUAGUCCACACAGUAAACGAUGUAUACUCGCGGUUUGCGAUAGACAGUAAGCCGCCAAGCGAAAGCAUUAAGUAUACCACCUGGGGAGUACGCCGGCAACGGG
rnacentral:rRNA from 1 species